GCCCUGGUGGCGGAAUUGGUAGACGCGCUGUCUUGAGGGGGCAGUUCCCUUCGGGGAGUGCUGGUUCGACUCCAGUCCAGGGCA
rnacentral:tRNA from 2 species